UGAAUGGGAGCUGAAGUGUCGUCGUUUGAGGGAUUCGAACAAGAAAGGCAUACAAAGCUCUCUCUCUCUCUCUGUGGUUCCUUCCGCUGUCUGUCGUCUGCGUCCGCCAUGUUUAGUCAAUCUUCCGCUCAGCUUGUGCGACCUAACCUCGGAUUUAUGGUUUCGCCCUCUCAGAAGGCGUCGAUCGCUUCUUCUUCGCUUCCUCGAUUUUUGCGGAUGGAGUCUCAAUCUCAGUCUCAGCCUCGCCAAUCUAUUUCCUGCGCUUCUUCACCAAGCAGUAACCUUUCUCAGGCUAAUUCUUCUUCCUUAAUCGAAUCAGGUCAGCUUUGAGACUAUAUAUAGCUUGAGAUGGAAUCUCAUUUCUUCAUUGAACUCCUGAUGAUGGUAUCAUCAAGUUUUUUUUUUUGGCUCACUUAAAAUCGUCUUUUUAUGCGAUCAGCUCGCAUUGGAGAAGUUAAGAGAGUAACAAAGGAGACUAAUGUGUCAGUGAAGAUCAAUUUGGAUGGCACUGGAGUUGCAGAUAGCUCCACUGGAAUCCCUUUCCUUGACCAUAUGUUAGAUGUAUCCUUUCUUCCUUGUAUCUUUUGUGUUCUGUAAUGAUUUGAAUCUCCCCUUGGAACAGAUCUUAGCCCGACAGUUUCAAUGAAAGGAUCAUGUUUGAUUCAUUAUUUGAACCAUUUUGAGUAAUGUUUGUCUUUUCACUUGCUUGGUUAGCAACUUGCUUCACAUGGGUUAUUUGAUGUGCACGUAAGAGCUACUGGUGAUGUUCAUAUCGAUGAUCAUCACACUAACGAAGAUAUAGCUCUUGCCAUUGGAACUGUAAGUUAGUGACAUUUACUAGUUAAAACCUGCCAGCAAUGGUUGUUAUGUAAUGAAACUACUGAGUAUUUGUUCUUUGUUUGUGUGUGUCUAGGCUCUGUUGAAGGCGCUUGGUGAGCGUAAAGGGAUUAAUCGGUUUGGUGACUUCACAGCUCCUCUUGAUGAAGCACUUAUACAUGUUUCCCUGGUAGAAUAAAAUAUUAUGAAAGUUCUCUGUUGCACAUCUGUGUUUAUUCUCUCAUUGCUGCUUAUGAUGAAACGAAAACCUCUUUGCAGGACUUGUCUGGUAGACCAUAUCUUGGUUUCAACGUGAAGAUUCCAACCCAGAGAGUUGGAAACUAUGAAACUCAGGUUCUUCAACCUUUCUAUUUUAGUUAUUUCUUUCGGGGUUUGUUUGAUGUUUAGUUAUAAAUUUUGCAAACCUUUCUAUUUAUAGUUGGUGGAGCACUUUUUCCAGUCGUUGGUGAAUACUUCCGGUAUGACACUUCACAUCCGUCAGGUACUGUCUUUCCAAAUUUUUCCAUUGGCAAACGAUUUCAUGAAGUGUUCUUCUGUAAUCUGUUUUGGCAACUUUUUGAAGACAGUGUUUAAUAGAAGUUUUUGUUACAACAGCUUGCUGGUGAAAACUCUCAUCACAUAAUAGAGGCCACCUUUAAGGCCUUUGCCAGGGCUCUAAGACAAGCAACGGAGAAUGAUCCUCGCCGUGGUGGGACCAUUCCCAGGUUUGACUUAUCCUCCACGACAUUCUAUUGCACACACUUAGAUAGGAUAAAUAUCAUAGACUAUGCAAGACUCAUUACGUCAUAUCUCGGUUUAAAAGCAUAUACUCUUUGUGAUCCUGAGGACGUAUUUGAGUGUUAUUUUGUGGAAUUUGCAGUUCAAAAGGAGUCUUGUCACGGUCUUGAGAGCUGAGCAAUCAGAAGAAAAACUCCCAGAUUCACUCUUUAUCGAGUUCAUCGUGAGUUAGAAAGUAAAUUGGGUGAAGAUCACACACUUUAUCGGAAGAUGGCUUCAUCUCUAUAAUUAAUCUGUCGAUCAAAGAGUUGUAUCUCUACAUUUUGAAAAAUCUCUUACCAUUUCUGUAUCAAACUCAUAAACUUACUGCAACUUCAAAGAACCGACCAAUUUGCUAGAAAAGGAAAAUAUCUUGAAACUACAACGUUUUGAGUCUUGUCGGUAACCAUUAGGCCUGGACUCGAAUAUCCAUCUGAAAAAUUUAUUGAAUGAAUAUUUAAGUUUCUGAUUAGCUUCGAUCUGGAAAACUUUAGAUAUCUAGAAACCGGAUACCGAGAAUUCUUUUAAAUAUUUGUACACUAUUCGAUCCAUUAAUUAUAUAUAUGUUUUUUUAUCUAUAUAUAGCAUUAUAAUUAAAUAAUUAAACUUUCAUAAUAUUUCUUUAAAAUAAAAAUAAUAAUAUCAUACAAACAAACUAACAUCUUUAAAAUAAAUUGUAAUGCAAAACAAAAAAAAAAUAAAUAUUAACAAGCCUAAUUAUAUAUCUAUUAAUAUACCAAUCGGAUAUCUGAUAUUUUUAAAAUUAAUAUUUCUGAUUUGCUUUUUUUUUUACGAUAAUUACAUUUUGCUAUUUGUCUUGACUCGAAUUUUUACUAUAUAUCAAAAAUUUUUCGGAUUGGGUGCGAUCGUACCAGCACUAAUGCACCAGAUCCCAUCAGAAUUCGCAGUGAAGCGUGCUUGGGCGAGAGUAGUAUUAGGAUGGGUGAUCUCCCGGAAAGUCCUCGUGUUGAACCUUUUUUUUAUAAAAGGGUGCGAUUAGAGAUGUUAAAACGGGCUUGAAGCCCGUGGGCCUAACGGGCUUGAAGCCCGUGGGCCUAACGGGCUUUAGAAUAAACGGGCGGAUCCGUGACCCGUUUAUUAUGAUAUAAAAAUAAACGGGUUUAUACGGGUCCGCCCGUUUAGGUCCGUCUCGUUAACGGAUAUACCCGCUAAAUAAAAGCCCGUUUAUGAGUUAAAAAAAAAAAUUAUUUAAAGAUUAUUUUUUUCAAAAAAUAUUUUUUUUUUAUAAUUUUAUUUUGAAAGAAAAUAGUUAUAUUAUAUAUAGUUUGUGUUACAAAACAAAUAUAUAUAUAUUGUGCUUUUUUUCUAGAAAAAAAUUUAGGUUAUAAUUGUGUUUAAAACCUACUAAAAUUUGUUGAUGUUUUAUAUGAUAUUAUGAACUGAUUAAUCUAUAUAUAAUAGCAAACCUAAUUUUGUUUUCUUAUGACAUCAGCAUUUUUUUAUAGGAAAAAAAAAAGUUUGAUCUAACGUUUGAGUUUAUCCCUACUUUUAAUCUAACGGACACGAUUUAUUUUAAUCACAAAAUCUUGCGUCAUGUAAUUGUUUCAACAGAUUGAUGCACCUCUUCUCUGAUCGACGCACCUUUUUACGGUGACCUCUUUUGAUACGGGAACGACGCACCUUUUAAACUGAUUAUUAGAUUGAAGUAUUGGUUAGAGUCGUUAUUUUUUUUCUGAGAACGCUUCUCAAUCGAAGUCCCAAGGAAAAGCUUUGGUUCCUCAUCAUGCUCUGCUCUAACCGGCCAACUCGACGGCUACAAUUGAUUUCUAAUAUAUUUCGCCGCGAAUUUAAACCGCCACCACCGUCUUCAUUGAUGAUGAGACUGACGUUAUAAAGUUGAUGAGAGAGAAGAGCAAGAACUAGAAGAAUAAAGUUGUUGCGGUGACAACGCUGCCAUGGAUGGAAUUGAAAAGCUGUGCUUUUUUUCUAGAAAAAAAUUUAGGUUAUAAUUGUGUUUAAAACCUACUAAAAUUUGUUGAUGUUUUAUAUGAUAUUAUGAACUGAUUAAUCUAUAUAUAAUAGCAAACCUAAUUUUGUUUUCUUAUGACAUCAGCAUUUUUUUAUAGGAAAAAAAAAAGUUUGAUCUAACGUUUGAGUUUAUCCCUACUUUUAAUCUAACGGACACGAUUUAUUUUAAUCACAAAAUCUUGCGUCAUGUAAUUGUUUCAACAGAUUGAUGCACCUCUUCUCUGAUCGACGCACCUUUUUACGGUGACCCCUUUUGAUACGGGAACGACGCACCUUUUAAACUGAUUAUUAGAUUGAAGUAUUGGUUAGAGUCGUUAUUUUUUUUCUGAGAACGCUUCUCAAUCGAAGUCCCAAGGAAAAGCUUUGGUUCCUCAUCAUGCUCUGCUCUAACCGGCCAACUCGACGGCUACAAUUGAUUUCUAAUAUAUCUCGCCGCGAAUCUAAACCGCCACCACCGUCUUCAUUGAUGAUGAGACUGACGUUAUAAAGUUGAUGAGAGAGAAGAGCAAGAAGUAGAAGAAGAAAGUUGUUGCGGUGACAACGCUGCCAUGGAUGGAAUUGAAAAGCUCAAUUUCGAGAAAAUAAGAUACGGAGGAUAGAUCAUGUCAUCUGAUGUUGAGGCUCAAAUACGACGCCAAUUUGGAAGCUUCGUCUGUUAAAUCUUGUGCUGUUUCUUGGGUCGGAAGCAACCGGGGCAGACGUCAAGCGUAUGUCUUCCUCUAAUCACAUUUCUCUCUAGCCAUUGAAAAUCUGUUUUUUGUUUUCUAGAGAGAUAAAUAAUUGAAAAUAAUGAAAAUGAAGGAAAGGAGCAUCGAACCCGGGUUGUAUAGCGCGCCAGAUCAAGGACCAAACCAUUAGGAGACAUCGACAUCUAUGACACAAUAGGCAUAUACUUAUAUAUAUCCACAUAUAACAUAAUAAAAGUACAAAAAACUAGACCCCGCUUAGUCCCCGCUUAAUCCCCGAUUUUUCGGUAACUCGCUAGGCCCGGAAUUGCCGCCCGACUAGCGUCUGGCGUAGUUCCGAAAAGAGGUCAUAGUUUGAUAAAUUAUUCUGCAAAAAAGGUAGUUGAACUGCUGAUUACAAAUAAAUAGAGAAUUAAAUUAAUGAUUUUUCGGUUAUGCCACUUACCUACUUUAGCGUUAACGAGUCAUCUGGUUCGGUUCAGUCCAUUAAGAGCAUCUCCAAAAGACACUCUAUAACUUUAAAUAUAAAGUUUUUUGCUUUCUAAAACGAAACUUCAAAACUUUAAUUUUGAAGUUUUUAAGAGUGAAACUCUAUAUUUGAAGUUUCACUACUCAAAACUUCAAAUUUCAUAUUUUUAUUUGCAUUUUGGUCCCUACAACUACACAUAACAUUUAUGAUUCAUAUAAAUAUUUUCUUGUAUAUUGUUUUAAUCCCUAUAAAAAUUAUAUCUCAUAAAUAUUUUAAGUUUUGUGUACAAAAUCUAAGUUUUACACAUAAAAUUAAAUAAAACUUUCAAAUAAGAUUUAAAAUAUUUAAAACUAGAUUUAGACAACAAAAAUAUACAAAAGAAAUUUAACAAAAAAGCUUUUAAAAAAUUACAUGAAGACAUAACUAUUACACAAAUUUAAAUAUUACAACACCACUAAUAGUCAUGUAAGUUUUAUCUAGAACCAUCAAAAUUUCCAAAUAUUGACCAAUUUUUGUUUGUGUAACUGAAGAUGGUUGUUGUUGUUGAUGAUGUCUUUUCGUACAAUUCUUUCUUGUUCAUAUUGAAUAUAUUCACGAGUAUAAAUAUCAUCGAUAAAAGUUAGUCUUGUAGCAAUAUUUUAUGUUUAUUGUUUUAUUUUCUUGUUCUGAUUUAAUGUAUUUACAAAGUAUUAAUAUUAUCUAAUUUCAACAAUUUUUCAUCUCUAAUCUACAAAUUAAAAAUGAGGAGAACUAUUUUUACUUCGAAAUGCACUAGUAGAUCUUAUAUGCAUUACGAAAAUCACUUUAUGAAAUAAUACGAUAUUUUGAUUGAAGUUUAAUAUUAAUUAAGUUAUUUUGCUUAAAAAUUUAUAUUUUAAUAUAAUAUUUUAUUAAUUAAUAAUUUUGUAAUAUGUUUAUAUGUGGUAGUUAUUUACAAAAGUUUUAUGAAUUUAAAUUAGUUAUAAAAAAUAUAAGAACCAUAUUAUAAAAUAAAAAUAAUUUUAAAGUUGAGUUUGAAGUUUUGCUUUCGGAAAAUAAUGCUUUUAAAGUUCAAAUAUAGAGUUUUGUAAACUUGGAAAUAGAGUUUUUUUGUUUUUGAGAUGCUCUAAUAAUCUGAAUGGGAGCUGAAGUGUCGUCGUUUGAGGGAUUCGAACAAGAAAGGCAUACAAAGCUCUCUCUCUCUCUCUGUGGUUCCUUCCGCUGUCUGUCGUCUGCGUCCGCCAUGUUUAGUCAAUCUUCCGCUCAGCUUGUGCGACCUAACCUCGGAUUUAUGGUUUCGCCCUCUCAGAAGGCGUCGAUCGCUUCUUCUUCGCUUCCUCGAUUUUUGCGGAUGGAGUCUCAAUCUCAGUCUCAGCCUCGCCAAUCUAUUUCCUGCGCUUCUUCACCAAGCAGUAACCUUUCUCAGGCUAAUUCUUCU
rnacentral:lncRNA from 1 species